GCCUCAGGAUCGCGUCAUAGUCGCCGGAGAGCCGUUGUGUACGUUGGCUAUCGCGUGCGUUGGCUCGUUGUCGUCGGGCCGUGUGGACCACCCUUCAACGGGGCAGAAUGGGUCGAAUCUGGAUCGCAGCCCUCGUGGUCUGCUGCUGCUUCACAUACACCACGGCAGCCUACAAUAAUAAUAACAGACGUCUGCACCGCGUCAGCCUGAAUGAGCUGCGCCAGGUCAUUCGGGACGACCUCGUCGGGGUGGUGGAGAACGCACUCGUCUCCAUGGAGAUGGGCC